CAUUGGUCCUCUUGCUGAGGAACUUGACAUGUGGUUUCCUGGGGCUCUUUCCUCAGAGCCUCAGGGCUUAGAGUGAAGCCAGGGACAUGCUGUGGAUAGUGACAAUGGUAAUACCAGUUCCCAAUGGGGCUGGGACCCUUUUUACCGUGUUAUCCUUGGUGCAGGAAGUGUGUCGCCUUGGGAAACAUCAAGUGGGUGCUGAAUGUUGCAAACCCAUCCUUGGACUCUGCAGUUUACCAGAAGAGAAAUGUCAGCCUUCUCUCAUCCAUUGCAGAUGUUCCAGAAAGCCUCUGUGAAGAAGUUCAGACUUGUCCCUUUGUGACUAACACAGGAUGAUGUGAGCAGCCUCUCGAGUUUGGUUUUCUUCCCUGAAGAUCCUUUCUUGUGUGGUACUGCUCUUGUAGAGAACCUGAAUUUGGUUCUCAAAGCCCAAAUAGGUGACGGCUCCAUAGUCAGCAUUCUUGUAAGAAAAGCAGGAGGACCUACCUGAGUUAGACCCCCAGCAACCACAGAAAAGCCUGGCAGGGCAGUGUGUGCCUCUCGUCCCACCUCUGGGAGAUGGAAGCCGACAGACCUUGGAACUCCCUGUGCAGAAGAUGGAGACUCAUUGCCAGGCUCUAGCGUCAAGUAGAGACUGUCUCAAAAGUAAGACGUGUCUGCUGAAGAGUAGAUGAUUGGCUUCAGGCUGUAAAGAGUGUACCCUGUAUCUCACAUCCUCCUCCAGAAUGCAGAAUUCCCUCCAGAACCUCCAGAAGGGAGCAGUAUCAUGACCUGAUAGGGACAGGCAGAAGGAUUCUGGAAUCGAGGUCAAAAUUUACAAAGAGCAAGAAAGGUUCUGCAGUCUCCGGGAAAGAAGGCAGACAAGCUCAGUCAUCGUGGAGAUGUUGGUACCCAUUUUCUGCUGAGUGGAUAUGUCAACAAACACCAUGCCAGCAAGUAGAAUCGUCUGAAAAGUAAAUUCACAUAGAAAGAAAAAGGAGAUAGCCCAUUUGCAGACAAAAAUGAGCUGGAAGGUGGCUCCACAUUGGGUAGAUUGUCUACUGUACUGAGCUCCAGUCAUGAACACACAAUAGUCUAGUCAGCCACAGCCCACACAAGCCCAGACACAAAAAAUUAGUCAUCACAAUUUUUUUCUCAUGGUUUUGUUUCAGGUAUCUUUAGGAAAUUUAUACCACAGAAGUUAGCAAUAUAUUUGAGAGGGAACUACCUCAUGUAUUUUUUUCAAUUAUUGUUUUUGUUUCAUCACACACAACUGAAACCCUUGAAUAAAAGGUUCAUAAAUAACCAGUUCGUGGGCAUGACUGUAGCUACACACAAGCGCUAUGUAUAGGCAGAGAGUGACUGUGGGAUGUGUGUCUGUGUUAACUAUGUUCAUGCAACUUCUGUGUGGUCUCCCCUUCCCAGCAGCAUUUGUAAAGAGCUGUGAAUGCCCCUUUCACAUUAGUCCUGGUUCUCCCACAUCAAUCAUCGAUCUAAAUGAGUCCCAAGAGAGAUGGCCACAGGCCAAUCUGGUCUGGGCAGUCCCCUCACCUGAGACUCUCUUUUCCCAAGUGACUUUUUGUUGUAUCAAUCUGACAAUAAAAUCUAAUAUAGAGCCUCUUCUAGAUGCUUCUGGGAAGAAGAACACAUCUAUAAAGCUACAGUGACAUGGGGCCAGUGACUAGGAGCCCUUGCUCCAGGGGAAGCACAGGUUCCAGCUUGAGAGCCUGUGGGCCACACUCUGUCAGCCAUUUAGGACAUGGCUGCUUUGACUCUUUUCUGUGUAUACUUCUGGUCAUUGUGUUUUCAGUUUUUUUUUUUAAUCACAUCUCUCUAGUCAAGCAGACCACCCUCAGUCCCUUUAGUGGCAUGGCCCAGAGCCUUGGGGUUGAUACCUGGGAGGGCGUCUCUGACACACACCUUUCAUUAGUUCACCUUGCUGCCACAUAUGAGGACUCAGGCAGAGAACUGACUCCCACAUGUUGUCCUCUGUCUGUCUUGCACAAACGGGGCCCUGGUCAUGUGCAUGUGCAGACAGUAAAUUAAUAUGAAGUUUUAUUGGUUUAUAUGACAAUUUUUUUUGGCCAAUAAGAUUUACUGUGCAUCUCAACCUGGAUUCAGUCUUGUAGUGUUAGGUGGUGAUAUUUUCUCUGCCGUCACAGAAGUUUGAAUGUGCUUAUUAAAUCAAGCUUGCCUGCUUGAUGUUAAUUUUACUAUAUCAGUUGUUUCAGUGAGCUAUUUGCUCACGGAUUCUCUGUCAAAUAGCUAUCAGCAGUUCUCUUGAUUUCGAUUAAACUUUUAGAAACCUCGUGGCUGGAGCAAUAAGCUUCGAGUUUAUUAUAGUGUUCAGUUAGAUCAGUGCAGAAUGCAUUUGUGUAGAACAACAUUAUAAUAUAUCAAAGGCACCUCAAAGUUAAAACAGCUUUAUGCUUGAUAGGUUACUACCUUUCUAGGAUUAUGUGCUUAUUGUAUAUGAAUCUGUGGACAGGCUCCUGGACAGGACUCAGACAAGGCCUUCCAGGGAGUUGUACAGUUGACAGACAGGCAGCCCACGACAGUGUCAAGAGACUUAACCAUCAUGGUGCACAUUCUGUAGAUUCAGAUGCUAGAAUUUCAGGGCAGCACUUCCCUUGGGAGAUACCUCAGUAUUUGUUGCUGGAAAUGUGUGAAGACCUAAAAGUUCUAGUCCUGGUGCCCACAUACAAAGUUGAGUACAGUAGCAUCCAGGUGUCGUCCCUCCUCUGGGAAGGCACAGAAAAGAGUAGCUGAACUGGUGAACUCAAGAAUUGGUGGGAGGUACGUCUCAAAAACCAAAGUAGGAGACCACAGAAAAGGGGGUUGACCUUUGGCCUUCAUGAGAAACUGCACAUGAACACACACACACAGGUUUGAGGGUGAGGAGAUGAGACUAGAACCUUGUCAAGCAAGGUUGGUUCUAUGGGUAUAGUGCCCCAGAAUCUGCCAUCCAGCUCAGAGUAACACAGUCUGCCUCUGGUUGGCAUAAAAAUCCCAUUUUUCCUUCCUAGAAUCCAUAGCUUAUGUGUGAUGUGUAGAAAAGUUUUACCUCCUUGUGGUACUUGAAUUUUUUGCUAACAAAGUCCCCCCACCC
rnacentral:sRNA from 1 species